GACGAACGCUGGCGGCGUGCUUAACACAUGCAAGUCGAGCGGAGCGGCGAACGGGUGAGUAACGCGUGAGUAACUUCCCCCCUCUCUGGGAUACCAGUUGGAAACGGCUUCUAAUACCGGAUAGUGGGGGAUGACUCGCCUCCUAUCAGCUUGUUGGUGGGGUAGUGGCCUACCAAGGCGACGACGGGUAGCCGGCCUGAGAGGGCGACCGGCCAAAGUGGGCUGAGAGAAGGUCCAAAGUCCUACGGGAGGCAGCAGUGGGGAAGAGUGCACAAUGGGGGAAACACUGAUGCAGCAACGCCGCGUGCGGGAUGACGGCCUUCGGGUUGUAAACCGCUUUCAGCCAUGACGCGGUAGUGGCAGAAGAAGCACCGGCUAACUACGUGCCAGCAGCCGAGGUAAUUC
rnacentral:rRNA from 1 species